AAAAUGUUGAGUUCAGUUCAGGGUAGCUUCCCUGUUCUGUUCAUUAAACUCUGGGACAUCAAAACACAG
ensembl:snoRNA